UAUUUUUGAAAUUGUUUCAUUAAUAUCCGAAAUAGUUCCGAGUGGUUCCGGAAGCGUUUCAGGGUCACCGGUAGGGUUUUGGUGAAUAUUUUGUAAUACAGGGUAUUGCCGAUUAAUACAGGGUAUUGGCACCGCGGUGGUCCCAGGCCCUCAGCUAAGGUCUGCAUCUGGGAUCCCACUGGUUCGAGGCCCCUUCCAUAUCCCUUAGUCUCCUGCCAGGCUCUCCCCAUCCCAUUUCCGAAGAUACAAGAGAUCUUAUUUAUACGCAGAUCUGGCGCUUCAGUUUUGGUUUCAAGGAAACUGAAGCAGGCAGUCGUGGAACCGUUGCAUGCUCUAUCUUCCAUGGAUUGGUGUCGAUUCUCUUCGCUCGAGUCGGGGAAUGUAUCAUUCCCCAUCUUCUGCUCUGGCUUGAGUGGAAUCUCAUCCGAAAUCCUGUGUGUGACCAGAGGCGGCCAUCCCUCUCAACCUCCUUCACCAGAGGCAUACAUCGUGGUCUUUGGAUCCAGAUCUUCGCCAAGCAAGUCUUCGUUGUUGGUUCAUAUUCCAGAGAGGCUAUCAGACGAAGUUGUCCUUGUCCUCUUUUCGGCGGGCGCCCAUCAUCUUCAUCACCGACGUUCAGCUAUGGGGCCCAUAUGAUUGCGGCCUCUCCCUGCGUGGCUGACUGGCACACGUUAUCUGGUGCGUUGUUGUAAUUUGCCCCCUGGUGUGUAUGUUAUUUACUUCUUGUAAAUAAAUAAUAAUGGAAGGUCUUUUAUUUCCAAAAAAUCCCAUCGCUUA